rnacentral:rRNA from 1 species
GCCGCGUGUAUGAAGAAGGCCUUCGGGUUGUAAAGUACUUUCAGCGGGGAGGAAGGUGUUGAAGUUAAUUACCUCAGUCAUUGACGUAACCCGCAGAAGAAGCACCGGCUAACUCCGUGCCAGCAGCCGCCGGUAAUACGGAGGGUGCAAGCGUUAAUCGGAAUUACUGGGCGUAAAGCGCACGCAGGCGGUCUGUCAAGUCGGAUGUGAAAUCCCCGGGCUCAACCUGGGAACUGCAUUCGAAACUGGCAGGCUAGAGUCUUGUAUAGAGGGGGUAGAAUUCCAGGUGUAUCGGUGAAAUGCGUAUAGAUCUGGAGGAAUACCGGUGGCGAAAGCGGCCCCCUGGACAAAGACUGACGCUCACGUGCGAAAGCGUGUGGAGCAAACAGGAUUAGAUACACUGUUAGUCCACGCCGUAAACGAUGUCUACUUGUAGGUUGUGCCCUUGAGGCGUGUCUUCUGGAGCUAACGCGUUAAGUCUACCGCCUGGGGAGUACGGCCGCAAGGUUAAAACUCAAAUGAGUUGACGGGGGCCCGCACACGCGGUGGAGCAUGUGGUUUUAUUUCUAUGCAACGCGAAGAACCUUACCUACUUCUUGACAUCCACAGAACUUAUCAGAGAUGCUUUUGGUGCCUUCGGGGAACAUCUGAGACAGGUGCUGCAUGGCUGUCGUCAGCUUCGUGUUGUGAAAUGUUGGGUUUAAAUCCCCCCAACGAGCAGCAACCCCUUUAUCCUUU